AACAAACAAACAAACAAAAACAAAAACCCCAAAACACCGGGUUUGGAGAGUUUCCUGGUUGGUGAACAGGUGGAGGUGCUGGAAGAGGGCAUAGAAACUCUGCAUCCUUUCCUCAUGCCCUGUCCUAGGUAUCUCUUCUAUCUGGCUCUUCCUGAGUUAUAUACGCUUUUAUGAUAAAUUGCUGAUCUGGUAAGUAAGAUGUUUCUUUGAGUUCUGUGAGCCUCUCUAGCAAAUUAACUGAACCUGAGUAGGCGGUCAUACGAACCUUUCACUUAUAACCAGUCAGUCAUAAAUAUAGGGAAAAACCUGGACGUGAGGUUGGCAUCCCCGGUUGGAGGGGGGCUCCUUAGAACCUCCAAUUUUUAGUCGGUUGGUCAGAAUGCAGGUAACAGCCAGGGUUUGCAACUGGAAGCUAGAGUGGUGUGGGGGUGGGGGCAGUCUGGUAGGACCGAGUCCUCAACCUGUGGAAUCUGGAGCGAUCUCCUGGUAGACAGUGUCAGAAUUGAGUUGAAUCCUUGGACACCUUACUUGUGUCCUAGAAUUGCUUGGUGUUGUAUGGAAAGACUCCCCCAGCCCCAUUUUCAAGUUGAGUCUCAGAACACUGGAAGGGGCUCCAUCCAGCCCUUGAGAAUGCUGGAUCAUGCACCUGGAGAAAGGCUCUUCCACCUGAGGGUUUGGCAAUCCUCCAGCAUUCGAGGCGCCCAGGGUACGUGACGUCAGCUCCUUUGUGUUCACGCUGCAAAGCCAGCCACCGGCUCACAGUGUUGCAGGCAUAGGAAACCGCCUUGGCUUUUCAAUUCGGCUUGCUUGGCAGAUUUUCUAACAUCAGCUGCCGGACUGGGAAAAUCUGCUGGGUAGAUGAAAGAGAGUGAAAGCUGUAGCUGCUCCACGAGAGGCCGUAUUACCAGCAAACUCCCUCUGGUGCUAUGUGUGCUUGCCUCUUCUUCCUAAGAACACCUCCUUGUAGUUACCCUGAAAGGCAAAGAGCAGGGCUGGAGCAAGAAAUGUCUGUUGACACUUGUCAGAGUGGCCUUCCAGAAGGAGAACACCUCUUGCCCUUUGGGAAGAUGGAAUAUAUAAUCCACUGUGCCUUCGUCCAAGGAGUCAGCAGCAACCUGUUGGCUCACACGUGGCAUCCGCCAUAGCAGCUUCACCCACUCGCUGGGCCACUGCAGUCGUGGAGAUGGCAGUGGUGAUGCUGUCGUCAAGAAGCAGCUGACUUGCCGAGUCCCGGCAGCAGAAUGGGCUGGAGGGGGAGGUGAGGCCAGAGUGGGAGCUUUGAGAGCCGGGAGUGUUGGUAUCGGCUGGCUUGGCCCUGCCACUGCCGAGACGGAAACACUAAGGUGUUGCUUGAUUUCUUUCUUAGGUUUUUCCUUGCCUUUCUUUUUUCUUUUCCCUUUCAAGUAGGACUCUUUAGUGGCCCAGCCCGGAGAAGGAUUAUUUGAAGCAAAGAAUAAAUUGUUGUUGUUGUUUUUUUAAGAUUUUAUUUAUUUACUUGACAGAGAAAGACAUAGCAAGAGCAGGAACACAAGCAGGGGGAGUGGGAGAGGGAGAAGCAGGCUUCCCGUGGAGCAGGGAGCCCGAUGCGGGACUCGAUCCCAGGACCCUGGGACCAUGACCUGAGCCGAAGGCAGACGCUUAAUGACUGAGCCACCCAGGCGCCCAAGAAUAAAUUGUUAAAGCUAAAUUUUAGGCUUCAUGACGGAUAAAUAUUUGGAUAAAAGGUAUCUGGAAAGUAUACCCUGAAUAAGUGCGUGAAAAUCGGCAUGGGGGAUUUUUUCAUUGAAAGAGAAGCGAAAAAAGAGAGGGCAGAAGACAGAGGCUGGGGCACCUGGAAAAGUCUUUGCAACGUGCUAGGGUUGCUGCUAACUCAGGAGAAACACUGCUUUACUGUACUGAAUCUAUCCUAGAAACAACAGGCUCAAUAGCUCCUUUCAUUACCUGGGAGCGUAAUUCAUCCCUGGCAUUCUUUCUGCAUGUUUUGAAGGCUGUUCUCAGAUGGAAUAUAAAAUGCUUUAGAAACCAAUUUUAGUAAUUGGCAGCAUCAUAUUUUUUAUAUUCUUGCUGAAGGGACUUAGGGUGAACAGUGGGUCAAUUUUAUCUUUUUUUUUUUUUUUUUUUAGCCAAAAGGGCACAUCACUCAGCAGAAUACUUAGUGGCUAUGAGAGUGAAAACCAGUUCCCCCAGCAUAAGGUGUGAGCAACAUAUUGGAUUAGAAAGCAUAAUAUGCUUUCUUUCAUGAAAUAGGCCUAAUCAAUAUACUUUUUAUACUUUAUCAGGAUCAUUCAUCAAUUAUUAUUUAUUUUUUUUUAAAGAUUUUAUUUAUUUUUUUGACAGAGAGAGACACAGUGAGAGCAGGAACACAAGUAGGGGGAGUGGGAGAGGGAGAAGCAGGCUUCCCGCGGAGCAGGGAGCCCGAUGUGGGACUCGAUCCCAGGACCCUGGGAUCAUGACCUGAGCCGAAGGCAGACGCUUAACGACUGAGCCACCCAGGCGCCCCUCAUUCAUCAAUUAUUGAUGAAACACUAGGCAAAGCUUUUCUUGAGAGCGUUAGAAACUCUGGCUGGAGUUGCAGCCCUGGGAUCUGGGAUUGUAUCUGUGAAUGUUAUUCUGCAAAAUACCCUGAGCACUCACUAUGGGCCCAAAUGAAGAGUGUCACUGGGUCUCAGAAAUGCACUUGUUUGGGGAAACAUUUAAAUAUCUCUGCUGGAACGAGGGUCACAUAAUCAUUCCAUCACGCAAUGCUUACUUGUAAAGGGAAUGGGGAUGCAGUCUCACUGAGUGCAGGGUUGUUUCCAAGCAGAGUUUUUAAGGAUAAGGAAGGCUGGCUCCUUAGGUUCUUACCGUGAGUAGACAGGAUGGGAUCUGGGCAACAAGGGGAAGAAUUGGCCUCAGUUAGGAGCACAGAGAGUUCACCUGUGGUAGCAGAGGGGAAGGCAGAGAAUUGGAGCACGGAUGCUGGUGGGCAUAUACAAUGGGAGCGUGUGGAAGUCCUCUUAUAAUGCAUUCCGUUUCAUUAAUGAAAUAAGAAAGGUGUGGGUUAAGAAUGAGUGUGAGGCAGUAGAUAUCAGAGGUAUGGUAUGAGGGAAAAAUUAAGUAUGAAGUACUUAUCUGCAAGUGUUCCCAUGUAAGAAGUCUUGGAUUCUUUUUAGUCUAGGUUACACUCACCAACUUUCCCCGUUGCACCCACUACCUAUCCCUAGCAUCCUGAUUAUCAAUAUUAACUAGAAGCCAGUGAAGAAAGAUUGAAUGUCAAACUUGACAAGAUGCGUGAGAGAGGAAUGUCAUAGGGGACGGACAUGCAAGACAAAGAAUGGUUAAGCCCAGGAUCGAUUCUUCCAAGCCCUCAGGGGCUGAGAGAGAGCUCUGUUUCUGUCACUUAAAAUUACUCAUUUUCAUGUUUACCCCAGUGCCUCAGAAGACACCAGUUUAGUUCCAGGGGUGAAAGUUGGGGCAGAGGCACUUUUUCUGGAUAGACUGAGUACUGUAAACCAAUUUUCUCUGACAGGCAUUGCGGGGAAUCUGGAGAUCAAAAAGACUCGGUGUGGGGCACCUGGGUGGCUCAGUCGGUUAAGCGACUGCCUUCGGCUCAGGUCAUGGUCCUGGAGUCCCGGGAUCGAGUCCCGCAUCGGCCUCCCUGCUCGGCGGGGAGUCUGCUUCUCCCUCUGACCCUCCUCCCUCUCACGCUCUCUGUCUCUCAUUCUCUCUCUCGCAAAUAAAUAAAUAAAAUCUUAAAAAAAAAAAAAAAGACUCGGUGUGAGUCCAAAGUUACCUUCCUUCUCUUCAGAGCUUCUGAUUCUACGUGAGGUAGAGUAUCAGCUACUGAGUUAGGAGUAUAAAGAACAAAUACAUUGUAACCAGAGGGGACACAGUGUACAUUUGUUCCCUGGGAGUAGUGGAAGCUCUCAGUGAAAUGGAGAACAAGGUUAUUACCAGAGACAGGAGUUAAGUUCAUAGGAGAAGUUUAAAAAGGGAAGUGUGAAAUAGUCAUACGGAACAACUGAAUGGACUAGGCAGAGUAGUGUGAUUACCACUUAAAGAACCACCUGAGGCUCAUGGUCAUGAAUUUAAAGUAAGACCAGUCAGAGCGUACAGGAAGAGAAGUGGACUGGAUUUAACCAGGUUUGUGAUUUUGAUAAAUAAAUAAAUAAGUACACACACAUACACAUACACACACACACGCUAGGGAUCGAUGAUGGGAUGAGAUGGGGAGAAUUGACUAGGGGAGCUUCAAUCAAAAGAAUGCAAGAAUUCUUACACUGAGGCGCUUGUGGAUAACUACUUCAUCCUUUUCCUCUCUUCUCAUGCAUUCAAUCUCCCUCUUUUUCCCCCUCUCUCUCUUCACACAUACACACACACACACAGUUUAAAUAUAUAAAUUAUAUGUAAUAAAGAGGGGAAAUAAAAGCAUAAAUUUGUAUUUUCCUAUAUUUGCAUAAAAGAAACCCCAGAAAGAUAUACUAAAACUAAUACAAAUGGUUACUUACCCAAAUGCUUACUAAUAGGAGGGUAGGGGGACAGAGAUGGAGUCCUUCCAGUCCUUCAAAAAUUCUUCCCAAAAAUAGUAGAGGGCAGAAUAUGUUCCAACUUACACUAUGAGGCUAGUAUUACCCUGAUAUAGAAUCUAGAGAUAGACAUCACAGGAAAACUACAGACUAAUAUCUCUUAUUGUUAUAGCCACAAAAUUUCUCAAGGAAAAACUAGCAAACUAAAUCUGGCAGCACAUAAAAAGGGUUACAUACCAUGGCUAAAUGGAGAUUUAUUCCAGGAAUGCAAGACUGGUUCAACAUACGAACAUUAAUCAUUGUAAUACACUUUAUUAAAAGAAUAAAGGACAUAACCCAUACAAUCAUCUUAAGAUGCAGAAAAAGCUUUUGACAAAAUCCAAUGCCCUCUCAUGAUAUAAACACUUAACAAAAUAGGAGUAGAAGAGAACUUUCUCAACAUUUAUGAAAAACCACAUUAUAAAAAACAUUUAUGAAAAACCCAUAGCUGCCGUCACACUUUUCCAUUAUUAUUAUAUUUGUUAUGGUGUUCUGCGCUCGGUGAUUACAGAUUGCUGAAAGCUCGGAUGAUGGUUAGCAUUUUUAGUAAUAAAGCAUUUUUUUUUUAAAGAUUUUAUUUAUUUAUUUGACAGAGAGAGACACAGCAAGAGAGGGAAUACAAGCAGGGGGAAUGGGAGAGGGAGAAGCAGGCUUCCCGCGGAGCAGGGAGCCCGAUGCGGGGCUCGAUCCCAGGACCCUGGGAUCAUGACCUGAGCCGAAGGCAGACGCUUAACGACUGAGCCACCCAGGCGCCCCAGUAAUAAAGCAUUUUUUAAACAUUUUUUAUUGUUAUGUUAAUCCCCAUACAUUACAUCAUUAGUUUUAGAUGUAGUGUUCCAUGAUUCAUUGUUUGUGCAUAACACCCAGUAAUAAAGUAUUUUGAAAUUAAGGUGCGCACAUUGUGUUUUUAAACUUUAUGCUGUUGCACAUUUAAUAGACUACAGUAUAGUGUAAAUUAACUUUUAUAUGCACUGGGAAACCAAAAACUUUAUUUGAUUCACUUUAUUGUGAUAUUUACUCUAUUGCAGUGGCCUGGAACCGAACCCACAAUAUCUCUGAGAUGGCAAGGAAGGAAGCAAGAGGAUCAAAGAGGCUGAGCAGCUUGCCCAAGAGAGAGAGCACAAGCAGGGGGAGAUGGGGCAGAGGGAGAAGCAGGUUCCCGCUGAGCAAGGAGCCCGAUGCGGGACUCGAUCCCAGGACCCUGGGAUCAUGACCUGAGCCGAAGGCAGAUGCUAAACCGACUGAGCCACCCAGGCGUCCCAAUAUGCUGAUAUCUUGAUCUGGAUAAACAACAACAACAACAUCAACAAACCAGCUUUCUGCAUAGACACCCC